GCCUGGCUGGCUCAGUUGGUAGAGCCCGUGACUCUCAAUCUCAGGGUCAAGAGUUCAAGCCCUGUGUUGGGCA
rnacentral:tRNA from 1 species